rnacentral:miRNA from 1 species
GCAGACACAUUCCAGCCAAUCAGCAGCAGACCCUCCCUCCCAGACCCUUCCACCUCCUGGACAGCUCACUAAAAAUGCAGCUUCAAAAUGGAUGCUGUCCAGGAGGUGGGAGGGUCUGGGAGGGAGGGUCUGCUGCUGAUUGGCUGGAAUGUGUCUG